CAGCAGCCGCGGUAAUACGUAGGUGGCAAGCGUUGUCCGGAAUUAUUGGGCGUAAAGGGCUCGCAGGCGGUUUCUUAGGUCUGAUGUGAAAGCCCCCGGCUCAACCGGGGAGGGUCAUUGGAAACUGGGAAACUUGAGUGCAGAAGAGGAGAGUGGAAUUCCACGUGUAGCGGUGAAAUGCGUAGAGAUGUGGAGGAACACCAGUGGCGAAGGCGACUCUCUGGUCUGUAACUGACGCUGAGGAGCGAAAGCGUGGGGAGCGAACAGGAUUAGAUACCCGCGUAGUCCCUGUCUCUUAUAC
rnacentral:rRNA from 1 species